rnacentral:rRNA from 1 species
GUAGGGCGCAAGCGUUAUCCGGAAUUAUUGGGCGUAAAGAGCUCGUAGGCGGUUUGUCGCGUCUGCUGUGAAAUCCCGAGGCUCAACCUCGGGCCUGCAGUGGGUACGGGCAGACUAGAGUGCGGUAGGGGAGAUUGGAAUUCCAGGUGUAGCGGUGAAAUGCGUAGAGAUCUGGAGGAAUACCGGUGGCGAAGGCGGCCCCCUGGACAAAGACUGACGCUCAGGUGCGAAAGCGUGGGGAGCAAACAGGAUUAGAUACCCUGGUAGUCCACGCCGUAAACGAUGUCGACUUGGAGGUUGUUCCCUUGAGGAGUGGCUUCCGGAGCUAACGCGUUAAGUCGACCGCCUGGGGAGUACGGCCGCAAGGUUAAAACUCAAAUGAAUUGACGGGGGCCCGCACAAGCGGUGGAGCAUGUGGUUUAAUUCGAUGCAACGCGAAGAACCUUACCUACUCUUGACGUCCAGAGAACUUAGCAGAGAUGCUUUGGUGCCUUCGGGAACUCUGAGACAGGUGC